GGGGAAUUUUGGACAAUGGGGGCAACCCUGAUCCAGCCAUGCCGCGUGCGGGAAGAAGGCCUUCGGGUUGUAAACCGCUUUUAGUCGGGAAGAAAAGGCGCGGCCUAAUACGUCGCGUUCUUGACGGUACCGGCGGAAUAAGCACCGGCUAACUACGUGCCAGCAGCCGCGGUAAUACGUAGGGUGCGAGCGUUAAUCGGAAUUACUGGGCGUAAAGCGUGCGCAGGCGGUUCGUUAAGUCUGAUGUGAAAGCCCCGGGCUCAACCUGGGAAUGGCAUUGGAAACUGGCGGGCUUGAGUGUGGCAGAGGGGGGUGGAAUUCCGCGUGUAGCAGUGAAAUGCGUAGAGAUGCGGAGGAACACCGAUGGCGAAGGCAGCCCCCUGGGCUAACACUGACGCUCAGGCACGAAAGCGUGGGGAGCAAAC
rnacentral:rRNA from 1 species